rnacentral:tRNA from 1 species
GCUGGUGUGGCGGAGUGGCCCAACGCGCCAGGUUCAAGACCCGGAGCGGGUGAUCGCUCGUUCGAACCGAGCCGCCAGCA